UCGACCGCGAGGUUUAAAGCCAGCAGAGCACGGAGAGGGCGUCUCGGGAGGAAUUUCGCUCACGGCUCGUGUGGAAAGUGGGAGCCCCAGAUCGGCGGACCUUGUCGAGGGUAAGAAAUCUGCAAAACAUUUGGCUUCUUGCACAAGCAGAACAACAGUUGGACAAACUGUGACCAACCCCCAUCCUCUCUUCAGAGUAGUAAAUUGCAAAAGAAAUGUUCACGAUCAUUCUCCAAAGCCUUGUCUCAGAAAGAAACAGCUCCCUAAAGUUGGGAGCUGUGACAUAGCAAAUAAGGAAAAUAAACUAGGCCGUGCAGGUAAUCGGCCAGCAAAAUUGCCUGUGGAUGGCCGCACAUUCUUACUGAACUCCGCCGAUUCUGGUCGCUCUCAAACAGAGAGCCCUUCAUCAAGA